rnacentral:pre_miRNA from 1 species
GAUAUCGUCCUACCUGAACAAUAUUAGAUGUCAAUGUCAAUUCUAAUACUGUCAGGUAAAGACGAUAUC